rnacentral:lncRNA from 1 species
AACGCAAAGAGCCGAUACGCAUCAAUGAUCCGACUGAAUCUGGUUCAAAUAAUGAUUUGCAUAUUUCUUUCCUUUUUGUUCUUGUCCAAAUUUCACAGAUUGAAACAGAAAUCGCUGCGAGUCCUUCGCUUCUUCAUGAGAUCGGACCCAUGCCCUUGCUAGAGAAGUCCCUGUCGUUGCAUACAUAGAAAGGUCUGCAUAUUAUAUACACACCCGCACCUUUUCAUUAUAAUUGCUGCAUUUGCUCUAUGUAAUUGUGAUUUUGUGUCGGUUAUGGCAGAUAAUCGAGGAAGAGCAGCUUCAAUCGAAAAGGUAGCAUCGAAGUACUUUUUUCACUUUUCUCCUUUUCUUUAACGUUACUGGUUUUUGUUUAAUAUAUAUUCUGCUUUAGUAUUCGUAACUGCUAAAUAUCGUUACUCCUCGAGUUUUUUUUGUUUUUUUUUUUUUUUUAUGGAUAUGGACUAACAUAUUCUAGUAGUAGAACCGACGUUCAAUAAUGAUUUGGUAUUUGUUGAAUGCAAUAUUUAGUUGCAUGGUUACAAGAAAUAGAAGAGAUUAAAAGUUUAACGAAUUUGAGUGGGUGUUAGUCGUUUCUCAUAUCAUUAAUUUUUAGCUCACUGAAUUUAGUGCAAGUCUUGGCAUAUUCAAUAAGUUGGCUGCUCAAAGAGAUUAAAUCUCUGUCUCUGCCAAUUUUCCCUCUCUUCUAAGCGACCAAACAGAGCAUAAAUGAAUGCUUUUGGCUUGUUAGUAGAUUGGAGUUUUAGAUGUAGAGAAAAUGUAGUACUAGCAGCAUCAAGUUAGAUUACCAAAUUGUAGACAGACUUUUUUGAGCAGUUAAAUACAAUAUGCUAAGGGGAGAUACACAUCUCAUUUGUUGUGUAUUGAAGUUAUGUGCUCUAGGCAAUUAUGGUUAGGGGUCUCAAGAUUGAUUGAAGCCUUGAGGUCUACCUUGAGUGUCUUCAAAGUUCUUUAUCUUAUUCUUGCCAAAUUAUUCAUUUUAAGGGAGGGGGAGAAUACUAGAAAUGUCUAUUCAUUUUAUCUUUAGUGUUCGUGUUGUCCAUACCAGUAAUGUAAUGCGCGGGUGCGUGUUUGUAGGUAAAUUGAGUACUAUAAAGUAUGUGAUAUUGAGAGAGAGCUAGCAAAUUUACAAUAUAGAUGAAACUUACAUGUGCACCAAAAUGGCAGGUCAGUAAAGUAACUACCCUUUCUCUUGAUUAUGGUUAACAUUGCGAUUAUUCUCAUCUAUGAUGCAUGCCUUAAGCACUUGAGCACAUGAGAAGGAAAUAGAAAUGUCAGCUGGAUGAAUUUGUGCUGCCAGUCUUAAGGAAGAACAAACAUGAAAGUUUUGUCCCUCUUAAUUGCAACACUCAGCCCAUGUCUUUGUCUUCUUUUUGUGUGAACCCUGAAUAGUAGGAGCACUGCUCGAAAUUAUUUAGCACACAGCCCCAACCCACAAUCACCCAAGAAACCUCAAUUAAUUAGAAAGCAAGUCAACCUAGUUGAACGGGUCAUAGAAAGACAGAAACUUGAAAGGUUAAAAAAAAAAAAUUACUAGGGUAUUUUGGACAAAUUAUGAAUUAUUUUCAAUUGAUUGAAAAUAUCUGAUGAGGGUUUUAGUUGGCAAAUGUUUAAAAUCAUUGGUUUAGAUACGAUUUAUAUGGUAGGAGUGAGGAUGUUGCAAUAUUGCAUGUGAAAAAGUAUAAGCUACAAAAUAGGGGGAGAUAUGCGACAUAUGGAAAUAUGUGGAAUGCUUCUUGUUGUGUCUUUAUCUUUCUCUAAAUUUUCUCUUCUGACAAUGGAAUUUCUUUGGAAGCCAGAUUUUCUUUACUUCACACACUUGCACAAAAAUGAUCAUCUUUUGAAGGAACUUUACAUCACCUGGGAGUUAUGAUUUUUCUUUCCUCCCCACAGCUGACAUGUGUGAGUUUUGAGAUUUUAUGGUUUUCUUUUAUAAUUUAACAGAUGAGUUGUAUUUCCUCUUUAGCAUUGUGUGUAUCUCGCUUAAUGUCUUUUAGGUGUGGGAAGCAGCAGCAGAAACUGUGAAAGGUGAGGAAGCAAUUGAGCAAAAGUUAUAUGAAGACUUGAAUCAACUGGUACACAUCUUCACUAAUAAAAUCGUAAAACUUUUGCUAUUUGUUGCAAACAUGUUUGAUGUAUUGUCCUUAAUAGGUCCAAGAGGGCUGUAGCUCUCAAUUUACUGGACUCGAGUAAUUAAAAAGAUGACUGGAAGCUUUAAACCUAGCAGAGCAUCCACCUCUUCUCUUCAUGUAAAUCUUUCUUUACAAAUACCCCCACACUUAGCCUUUUGCUUGUUCUCAAGCAACCAAUAACUUAGUCAAUCAAGCUCCUUUUUCUUUUGAGCCUAAGUACCACUUAAUCAGCCCCCUAGACUCCCAAAUUGAAGCACUAUAGUGUAGAGUACAUGCACUAAGGUUGUCCUCUCUUUCCAUGUUUCUUCCCACCCACCAUGACCAAGAAAAAGUUUUUUAUUUGAUCAUGCUUAUUCUUUCAUUUUAGGCUUAAUGCAACCUCUAAGAGUGACUUGCCUUUUUUUUUUAUUUUUAUUCAGCAGCACUUUUUCUUAUUCUUGCCUGAAAAAGUCACCAACCUUUUUAUACGAAGGUGCAUAUUGGUGAUACUCACCCCCGGUUACUCAGUUAGUCACUUGUUCAAGUGGCUACUAGCUCUGUUCAUAGUCCUUGACCAUUGGAACAGGUUUGUGUUGUGUGCUUUUUGCUAAGUUAUUUUUCCCUUUUUUCUUUUCUUUUCCUUUUUCAUAGCAGUUUGGGCAAAUCAGCUCAUAGGGAGUUACACUAACUUUUAUUGCAUGUAUUUAUAUUUUUCUCUUGACCAUAGCAAGUGCAAAGAUCCAAUUUAAGAGAAAAACUCCCUAAGUGAAAGUAACACACUGUAAAUGAUUCAAUUUAGGCUUAAAGGGUUGGAAAAUUUAAUGGGGUCAUGAGAUAGGAGGCUCUUUUAACCUAGUCAUCGAUGCUGAGUAGAGCAAAAAAAAAAAAAAAAUCUGUGUGCAUGAAGGUUGUGUGUGUGUGCAGAAGUGAAUAUGAGUGAAAAAAUGUGAGUGAAAAAUUUUUGUGUGUAUAAAAGAGUAAAAAGAAUGCAAAAAGAGUAAAAAGAAUGCAAAAAGAGGCAAAAAUAUAACAAAAGAUAGUGCAAAAAUCUCCCCCAAUACCCCCACAUCUAGUCUAAACAUUGUCCUCAAUGUAAAAGAUAUAAAGAAGAAUUAAGAGAGAAAAGGGACUUCCUGGCCUGGGGUGAUUUGGUCAGUGAUUUGAGCAAAUCACUCGGCCAAAUCACUGGUUGUCAUGGUGUAUGGGCAGGAAAUUGUCCACCAACAGUUGUAGCAGGUGUUCCAUGUUUUGCAUUCUAUCCUCAAUUCUACUGAGACGUGCUUCUACUGUUUGGUUUGGGGCUGCGUCUUCAGGUGCCUGAUUUGCUUCCUGCUGGGGUGUCACUGGAGGUGCUUCCUCUGCUGCUUCUUGUUUUGUGUCCUCUACUGAGGUAGGCUGCUGGGAUGUUGUGGGCUGGAUGGCUGUUCUCUUCUUAAACACACGCUCAUGGCGUGGUAUGAUAGGACCUGUAGGUGCAAUAGAAAAAAUGUCCCCCACUUUGCAAAGCAACCCCAUAUCAUCCAAAGUGCGUAGGUCCAGGGGGUUGGUUUGUUGGUGGAGGUGAGGUCAGUGUGCGCAGGAUGCAAUAAUUUCAGAUUCACUGCAAUGGUAGUGAUCAAAUGUCCAAGUAUUAAUGGUAUGUGAUAUUGGAUGGUGCUGGAGAGUUGUAUGGCAACCCAGUAGCCUAAGUGAAUUUUCUGGUUUUUAGACAUACUCCACAGAAUGUAUAACUCUGCUCUGGUCAGGAUGUUGGGUGCAUCCUUCCUCCCAUAAAAUAUAUAUGCUAAGAACCUGUGUAAAUACUUAAGGUAGGGAUUUCUGAUGUACAGGUCUUUGGAUUUUGUGGGUGAGUAUGUGUCAGGUGGGUUGUCUAAUCAAUGCUAAAUAUGCAGAGUUGGGAUUGAACUCAGUGGGGAAAUCCCAGGUAGAGUCAGAGCAUUCAGAGCCCAUGGCAAUACUGAACUCAUGCAGGGACAAGCGAAAUCGUUGUCCUAAUAGCCUAAAACCAAUAGUAUCUGGUGUGUGCAGGGUGUUCAUGGUUGAUUUGUCAAAGUAGAAGGUGGUGAAGAACUCAUGUGUGAGCUCAGUGAAGGAUGGCAUGCGAAGGUAGAAGAAUGUAUCCCAACCAAUGGCAGAAAUAAGGAAACGUACCUGAUCUUGAAGUCCUAGUGCUUCGAUGGUGCCAUGGUGUAUGAACUUACCUGGAUGGUAUGGCAGAGAAGAGACUCUGUCUAGCCUGGUGCAUUCAGAGGCUUUGUUGAAUGUCUUUGUUGAAUGUCAGUGCCUAUGUGAUAUGAUCUGGGUGUGCUGGUCUGGGCAAAUCACUGGGCAGAUUACUUUCUUCGUGGCUUGCGGGAUGUUUGUCAAUGGGGGUUUCUGGUUGUUGCUCUUGGCUCGGCGGUGGUGGUGGUGAGGGUGUUCUUGGCCGUUUCUGACCAUGACCAGUGGAAGGGGUGUCUUCUUGAGGCUUUUCGCCUCCCUGGGUGUCCAUCACGACUGUUGGUGAGGAAGGUGGUGGGGCAAUUAUUCUGGCUUUGUUCCGCCGACUAUAUGCCUGGACGUCCGGUGUGUCGGGGCGCUUGGUCUCUGUUCCCUCGGCCGUCCCUGUGUCGGCGUCGUCGGCGAUGUGAGGAGGGUUUUCCAUGGUCUCCUCGUCACUGUCAGUGGGAAUGCAAAUGGGUCUGGGCAUCCCGCGCCUCCUCCACAUACCGGGGCUGCCGGUGGCCAUCAUCUUGGUUCUGGCCAUGGUGCUUGAUGUCGCCGGUGGUGGAGUUCUUGGGGAAGAAGAAAGAGAUGAAGCAAAGAGAUAGCGUGAGGGAAAAGGAAUUAAUAAAAAAAACUAUUUAAAGUGAUUUGGGGAAGUUGAACUGCCCUGAUCAUUUAAUGCUGGGUCUGUGACUUCUUGGCAGGGUGAUUUGGUCAGUGAUUUGGGCAAAUCACUUGGUCAAAUUACUUCCUCGUUGUAAUUGCUUGAUUGGCCCUGGUCACGCUAUUUCUGUGAUGUUUGAAUCCUGGUGAUUGGCUUGUCGAUUUGGGCAAAUCACCUGCCCCAAUCACUUCAGCUGGGUUGCCUCCCAGUAGCGCCCUGUUUUCUGUCCUGGGCUGGACUAUUUUCUCUUGAUCAGCAGAUUGGGGGAGGGGGAUCUAAGGGAACCUCCUCCACAAGAUGAACAGUAAAUCCUUCGUAGAAUUGCUUCAGACGGUGCCCAUUGACUUUGAAAACUUUGUUUGUUUAUGGACUGCGUAUGUCCACAGCCCCAUGUAGAUGGACAUGUUCAACCAAGAAUGGCCCAAUCCACAUGGGUCGAAGUUUCCCAGGAAAUAAUUUGAACCUUGAAUCAAAAAGCAAGACCUUAUCACCAACCUGAAAUUGUUUUCUGGAGAUGUGUUUGUCAUGGAAGACUUUAGUCUUGGCUUUAUAAUCCCAUGAAGCUUCAUAUGAAUCACGCCGAAUUUUUUCUAGCUCUUGAAGUUGCAAUUUUCUGUGGAUUCCAGUUUCUUUUUCAUCCCGAUUACACCUUUUGACAGCCCAAUAAGCUUUGUGUUCAAGUUCUACGGGCAGAUGGCAAGUUUUCCCAUAAAUCAGCCUAUAUGAGGACAUUCCAAUUGGUGUUUUGUAAGCUAUUCUAUCUGCCCACAAGGCAUCAUUGAGGCGUACACUCCAAUCCUUGCGAUUUGGGCAAACUGUCUUCUUGAGGAUAGACUUGAUCUCCCUGUUUGAGACUUCGGCCAGCCCAUUUAUUUGAGGGUGAUAGGCAGUAGAAGUUCUAUGGACAACCUGGUGCUUUUUAAGGAGAGUCUCCACCACCUUGUUGCAGAAAUGAGUGCCUCGGUCACUGAUUAUUGCUUUGGGCAAACCGAAUUUGGAAAAUAUGUGGGAUUUCACAAAGUCAACAACCACUUUUGCAUCAUCAGCUCUUGUUGCUUUGGCCUCUAUCCAUUUGGACACAUAGUCCACUGCCAGCAGUAUGUAGGUAUUGCCAAAGGAAGGUGGGAAUGGUCCCAUGAAGUCAAUGCCCCAAAUGUCAAAGAUUUCAUACCAUGAUGGGUGCUUGUGGCAUUUCACUUAUGCUACUGAGGUUUCCUAUUUGUUGGCAUCUUGCACAUGACCUACAAAAUAGAUAAGCAUCUCGAAAUAUGUUAGGCCAAUAUAACCCACAUUCAAGGAUCUUCAGGGCUGUCUUGCGUGGACCAAAAUGUCCUCUAUAGCCAUAUGAGUGAUAGAAGGCUAGGACAGAAGAAAUCUCAUGAUCAGGGAUGCAUCUGUGUAUCACUUGGUCUGCACAAUGCUUCUAUAGGUAGGGUUCAUCCCACACAUAAUACCUUACAUCAUUCUUGAUCUUGUCUCUCAUGUAUUGGGCAAAUCAGUAGGUAAAUCACUAACUAGGUAAUUUACUAUAUCAGCAUACCACGGUUCUUCUUCUUGGACAGCAAAUAGGUGCUCAUCAGGAAAAUUUUCGUUGAUAGGAGAGGUCUCCAUUUCUGAAAGUAUUCUGCUGAGUUGAUCAGCUACAAGGUUUUCCUUCCCCUUCUUGUCACGGAUUUCCACAUCAAAUUCCUGUAACAGCAGUAUCCAACGUACUAACCUUGGUUUUGCUUCUUUUUUCUUGACCAAAUACCUUAGUGCAGCAUGAUCUGAAUAAACAAUCACCUUUGUCCCAAGUAGAUAGGACCGAAAUUUUUCCAAUGCAAAUACUAUAGCCGGCAAUUCUUUUUCUGUGGUAGAAUAAUUACAUUGUGCUGCAUCUAGGGUGCGUGAGGCAUAGUGAAUGACAUGAGGAGAGUUACCUUUACGCUGUCCCAACACUGCACCUAUAGCAAAGUUGCUGGCGUCACACAUAAUCUCAAAUGGAAGGGUCUAGUUAGGUGGCUGGAUGACUAGGGCAGUGACCAGCAGUGAUUUGAUCAAAUCAAAGGCUGUUCUGCAGCUUUCAUCAAAGUCGAAUGGCACGUCCUGUUGAAGCAGCCUGCAUAAAGGCUAAGUUAUCUUGAAAAAAUCUUUGAUGAACCUUCUGUAAAAACCAGCAUCGCCUAGGAAUGAGCGAAUCUCCCGAAUGCUAGUUGGAUAGGGCAGGCUCUUGAUAGUGUCUAUUUUAGCUUUAUCUACCUCUAUCCCUUUUGUUGAAACAAUGUGUCAUAGGAUUAGACCAUGGUUGACUAUGAAGUGACACUUCUCAUAGUUUAAGACCAGAUUUGUCUCCAAGCAUCUUUGAAGUAUCUUCUCCAAGUUGGCUAGGCAUUCAUUGAAAGAGUUACCAUACAUCGUGAAAUCAUCCAUGAAGACUUCAAUAAUUUUCUCUAUAUAGUCAGAAAAAAUACUCAUCAUACACCUUUGGAAGGUGGCUGGUGCAUUGCAAAGGCCGAAAGGCAUCCUCCUAAAUGCGAAGGUGCCAAAUGGACAUGUGAAAGUGGUCUUUUCUUGAUCUUCAGGUGCAACAGGGAUUUGAUAAAAUUCCGAAUAUCCAUCUAGGCAGCAGUAGUGGCUUUUUCUUGCGAGUCUCUCAAGCAUUUGGUCCAUGAAUGCCUAGCCAACUUGGAGAUCGUGAAAUCAUCCAUGAAGACUUCAAUAAUUUUCUCUAUAUAGUCAGAAAAAAUACUCAUCAUACACCUUUGGAAGGUGGCUGGUGCAUUGCAAAGGCCGAAAGGCAUCCUCCUAAAUGCGAAGGUGCCAAAUGGACAUGUGAAAGUGGUCUUUUCUUGAUCUUCAGGUGCAACAGGGAUUUGAUAAAAUUCCGAAUAUCCAUCUAGGCAGCAGUAGUGGCUUUUUCUUGCGAGUCUCUCAAGCAUUUGGUCCAUGAAGGGCAAGGUAAAGUGGUCCUUCCUUGUAGCUGCAUUGAGCUUCCUAUAAUCCAUGCACACUCUCCACCCAUUUUGCACACGAGUGGGUACAAGCUCUCAUUCAGAAUUGGGGACAAUGGUAAUUUCAGUCUUCUUUAGUACCACAUGGAUGGGGCUCACCCACUUGCUGUCAGAAAUGGAGUAGAUUAUCCCAGUGUCUAAGAGCUUUACUAUUUCUUUCUUCACAACCUCCAUCAUUGGGGGAUUCAGCCUUCUUUGAGCUUCACGGACAGGUUUGCACUCAUCUUCCAUGAGUAUUUGGUGCAUGCAUGUUGAUGGUGAGAUGCCCUUUAUGUCUUCCAAGGUCCACCCAAUUGCUUUUUUGUGUUUUCUCAACACCUUUAGGAGGCUGUCCUCUUCUUGUCGGCUCAACUGAUUGGAAAUUAUGACUGGAAGUGUUUUCAGGUCUGGUGCAGUUGCUGUCUGAUCUGGUGCUUGCACCUUGCUGGUGCACUAAGACAGAAACAGACCAGACCGCAUACUGCACCUUGCUGGUUGCGGAUGAUUUGACCAAAUCAACAGAAUAGGCAGAUGCUGACUUGCUCAAAUCACUGGAGCAGACAGACAUGACAAAGGAUGAUUUGACCAGAUCACCAGACCUAGUAUCAGACGAUCUGCCCAAAUCAGUGAAUAAACAGCAGGCACCAGAUCAGACAGCAACUGCACCAGACCUGAAAACUCUACUAGGACACCUCAAAUACGCUUACUUGGGGGCUGAAAAAACACUUCCAGUCAUAAUUUCCAAUCAGUUGAGCCGGCAAGAAGAGGACAGCCUCCUAAAGGUGUUGAGGAAACACAAAGAAGCAAUUGGGUGGAUCAUGGAAGACAUAAAGGGCAUCUCACCAUCAACAUGCACGUACCGAAUACUCAUGGAAGAGGAGUGCAAACCUGUCCGUGAAGCUCAAAGAAGGCUGAAUCCUCCAAUGAUGGAGGCUGUGAAGAAAGAAAUAGUAAAGCUCUUAGACACUAGGGUGAUCUACCCCAUUUCUGACAGCAAGUGGGUGAGCCCCAUCCAUGUGGUACCAAAGAAGACUGGAAUUACCAUUGUCUCCAAUUCUAAAGGAGAGCUUAUACCCACUCGUGUGCAAAAUGGGUGGAGAGUGUGCAUGAAUUAUAGGAAGCUCAAUGCAGCCACAAGGAAGGACCACUUUCCUUUGCCCUUCAUGGACCAAAUGCUUGAGAGACUCGCAGGAAAAAGCCACUACUACUGCCUAGAUGGAUAUUCGGAAUUUUAUCAAAUCCCUGUUGCACCUGAAGAUCAGGAAAAGACCACUUUCACAUGUCCAUUUGGUACCUUUGCAUUUAGGAGGAUGCCCUUCGGCCUUUGCAAUGUACCAGCCACCUUCCAAAGAUGCAUGAUGAGUAUUUUUUCUGACUAUGUGGAGAAAAUUAUUGAACUCUUCAUGGAUGAUUUCACGGUGUAUGGCAACUCUUUCAAUGAAUGCCUAGCCAACUUGGAGGAAAUACUUUAAAGAUGCUUCGAGACAAAUCUGGUCUUAAACUAUGAAAAGUGUCACUUCAUGGUCAACCAUGGUCUAAUCCUAGGACACAUUGUUUCAGCAAAAAGGAUAGAGGUAGAUAAAGCCAAAAUAGACACUAUCAAGAGCCUGCCCUAUCCAACCAGCAUUCGGGAGAUUCGCUUAUUCCUAGGCCAUGCUGGUUUUUACAGAAGGUUUAUCAAAGAUUUUUCCAAGAUAACUCAGCCUUUAUGCAGGCUGAUUCAACAGGACGUGCCAUUCGACUUUGAUGAAAGCUGCAGAAUAGCCUUUGAUUUGAUCAAGUCACUGCUGGUCAAUGCCCCAGUCAUCCAGCCACCUGAUUGGACCCUUCCAUUUGAGAUUAUGUGUGAUGUCAACAACUUUGCUAUAGGUGCAGUGUUGGGACAGCGUAAAGGUAACUCUUCUCAUGUCAUUUACUAUGCCUCACGCACCCUAUAUGCAGCACAAUGUAAUUAUUCUACCACAGAAAAAGAAUUGCUGGCUGUAGUAUUUGUAUUGAAAAAAUUUCGGUCCUAUCUACUUGGGACAAAGGUGAUUGUUUAUUCAGAUCAUGCUGCACUAAGGUAUUUGGUCAAGAAAAAAGAAGUAAAACCAAGGUUAGUACGUUGGAUACUGCUGUUACAGGAAUUUGAUGUGGAAAUCCGUGACAAGAAGGGGAAGGAAAACCUUGUAGCUGAUCACCUCAGCAGAAUACUUUCAGAAAUGGAGACCUCUUCUAUCAAUGAAAAUUUUCUUGAUGAGCACCUAUUUGUUGUUUAAGAAGAAGAACCGUGGUAUGCUGAUAUAGUAAAUUACCUAGCUACAGGUGAUUUACCUACUGAUUUGCUCAAAUACAUGAGAGACAAGAUCAAGAAGGAUGCAAGGUAUUAUGUGUGGGAUGAAUCCUACCUAUGGAAGCAUUGUGCAGACUAAGUGAUACGCAGAUGCAUCCUUGAUCAUGAGAUUUCUUCUGUCCUAGCCUUCUGCCACUCAUAUGGCUGUGGAUGAUAUUUUGGUCCACGCAAGACAACCCUGAAGAUCUUUGAAUGUGGGUUAUAUUGGCCUAACAUAUUUUGAGAUGCUUAUCUAUUUUGUAGGUCAUGUGCAAGAUGCCAACAAACAGGAAACCUCAGUAGCAGAAGUGAAAUGCCACAAGCACCCAUCAUAGUAUGUGAAAUCUUUGACAUUUGGGGCAUUGACUUCAUGGGACCAUUCCCACCUUCCUUUGGCAACACCUAUAUACUACUGGCAGUGGACUAUGUGUCCAAAUGGAUAGAGGCCAAAGCAACAAGAGCUGAUGAUGCAAAAGUGGUUGUUGACUUUGUGAAAUCCCACAUAUUUUCUAGAUUCGGUUUGCCCAAAGUAAUAAUCAGUGACCGAGGCACUCAUUUCUGCAACAAGGUGGUGGAGACUCUCCUUAAAAAGCACCAGGUUGUCCAUAGAACUUCUACUGCCUAUCACCCUCAAACAAAUGGGCUGGCCGAAGUCUCAAACAGGGAGAUCAAGUCUAUCCUCGAGAAGACAGUUUGCCCAAAUCGCAAGGAUUGGAGUGUACGCCUCAAUGAUGCCUUGUGGGCAUAUAGAACAACUUACAAAACACCAAUUGGAAUGUCUCCAUAUAGGCUGAUUUAUGGGAAAGCUUGCUAUCUGCCCGUAGAACUUGAACACAAAGCUUAUUGGGCUGUCAAAAGGUGUAAUCUGGAUGAGAAAGAAGCUGGAAUCCACAGAAAAUUGCAACUUCAAGAUCUAGAAGAAAUUCGGCGUGAUGCAUAUGAAGCUUCAUGGGAUUAUAAAGCCAAGACUAAAGCCUUCCAUGACAAACACAUAUCCAGAAAACAAUUUCAGGUUGGUGAUAAGGUCUUGCUUUUUGAUUCAAGGUUCAAAUUAUUUCCUGGGAAGCUUCGGUCCAGGUGGAUAGGGCCAUUCUUGGUUGAACAUGUCUAUCCACAUGGGGCUGUGGACAUACGCAGUCCACAAACAAACAAAGUUUUCAAAAUCAAUGGGCACCGUCUGAAGCAAUUCUACGAACGAUUUACUGUUCAUCUUGUGGAGGAGGUUCCCUUAGAUCCCCCUUCCCCAAUCUGCUCAUCAAGAGAAAACAGUCCAGCCCAAAACAAAAAACAGGGCGCUACUGGGAGGCAAUCCAGCUGAAGUGAUUGGGGCAGGUGAUUUGCCCAAAUCGACAAGCCAAAUCACCAGGAUUCAAACAUCACAAAAAUGGCGUGACCAAGGCCAAUCAAGCAAUUACAACAAGGAAGUAAUUUGGCCAAGUGAUUUGCCCAAAUCACUGACUAAAUCACCGUGCCAAGAAGUCACAGACCCAACAUUAAAAGAUCAGGGCAGUUCAACUUCCCCAAAUCACUUUAAAUAGUUUUUUUUUAUUAAUUCCUUUUCCCUCACGCUAUCUCUCUGCUUCAUCUCUUUCUUCUUCCCUAAGAACUCCACCACCGGCGACAUCAAGCACCAUGGCCAGAACCAAGAUGAUGGCCACCGACGGCCCCGGUAUGUGGAGGAGGCGCGGGAUGCCCAGACCCAUUCACAUUCCCACUGACAGUGACGAGGAGGCCAUGGAAAACCCUCCUCCCAUUGCCGACGACGCCGACACAGGGACGGCCGAGGGAACAGAGACCAGGCGCCCCGACACACCGGACGUCCAGGCAUAUAGCCGGCGGAACAAAGCCAGAAUGAUUGCCCCACCAUCUUCCUCACCAACAGUAGCGAUGGACACCCAGGGAGGCGAAACGCCUCAAAAAGACACCCCUUCCACUGGUCAUGGUCAGAAACGGCCAAGAACACCCUCACCACCACCACCGCUGAGCCAAGAGCAACAACCAGAAACCCCCAUUGACACACAUCCCACAAGCCACGAAGAAAGCAAUCUGCCCAGUGAUUUGCUCAGACCAGCACACCCAGAUCAUAUCACACAGGCACUGACAUUCAACAAAGCCUCUGAACGCACCAGGCUAGACAGAGUCUCUUUUCUACCAUACCAUCCAGGUAAGUUCAUACACCAUGGCACCCUCGAAGCACUAGGACUUCAAGAUCAGGUACGUUCCCUUAUUUCUGUCAUUGGUUGGGAUACAUUCUUCUACCUUCACAUGCCAUCCUUCACUGAGCUCACACAUGAGUUCUUCACCACCUUCUACUUUGACAAAUCAACCAUGAACACCCUGCACACACCAGAUACUAUUGGUUUUAGGCUAUUAGGACAGCGAUUUUGCUUGUCCCUGCAUGAGUUCAGUAUUGCCAUGGGCUCUAAAUGCCUUGACUCUAAUUGGGAUUUCUCCACUGAGUUCAAUCCCAGCUCUGCAUUUUUAGCAUUGUGUGACAACCCACCUGACACAUACUCACCCACAAAAUCCAAAGACCUGUACAUCAGAAAUCUCUGCAUUAAGUAUUUACAUAGGUUCUUAGCAUAUACAUUUUCUGAGAGGAAGGAUGCACCCAACAUCCUAACCAGAACAGAGUUAUACAUUCUGUGGAGUAUGUCCAAAAACCAGAAAAUUCACUUAGGCUACUGGGUUGCCACACUACUCUCCAGCACCAUCCAAUAUCACAGACCAUUAAUCCUCGGACAUUUGAUCACUGCCAUUACAAUGAAUCUGAAAUUAUUGCAUCCUGCCCACACUGACCUCACCCCCACCAACAAACCAACCCCUCUGGACCUACGCACUUUGGAUGAUAUGGGGUUGCUUUGCAAAGUGGAGGACAUUUUUUCUAUUGUACCUGCAGGUCCUAUCAUACCACGCCAUGAGCGUGUGUUUAGGAAGAGAACAACCAUCCAGCCCACAACAUCCCAGCAGCCUGCCUCAGCAGAGGACAUAGAACAGGAAGCAGCAGAGGAAGCACAUCGAGUGGCACCCCAGCAGGAAGCAAAUCAGGCACCUGAAGACGCAACCCCAAACCACACAGUAGAAUCACGUCUCAGUAGAAUUGAGAACAGAAUGCAAAACAUGGAACACCUGCUGCAACUGUUGGUGGACAAUUUCCUGCCCACACACCAUGACAGCCAGUGAUUUGGCCAAGUAAUUUGUCCAAAUCACUGACCAAAUCACCCCAGGCCAGGAAGUCCCUUUUCUCUCUUAAUUCUUUGUUAUAUCUUUUACAUUGAUGACAAUGUUUAGACUAGGUGUGGGGGUAUUGGGGGAGAUUUUUGCACUAUCUUUUGUUAUAUUUUUGCGUCUUUUUGCAUUCUUUUUACCCUUUUAUACACAUAAAAAUUUUUCACACACAUUUUUUCACUCAUAUUCACUUCUGUACACACACACAGCCUUCAUGCACACAGAUUUUUUUUUUUUUUUGCUCUACUCAGCAUAGAUGACUAGGUUAAAAGAGCCUCCUAUCUCAUGACCCCAUUAAAUUUUCCAACCCUUUAAGCCUAAAUUGAAUCAUUUAUAGUGUGUUACCUUCACUUAGGGAGUUUUUCUCUUAAAUUGGAUCUUUGCACUUGCUAUGGUCAAGAGAAAAAUAUAAAUACAUGCAAUAAAAAGUUAGUGUAACUCCCUAUGAGCUGAUUUGCCCAAACUGCUAUGAAAAAGGAAAAGAAAAGAAAAAAGAGAAAAAUAACUCAGCAAAAAGCACACAACACAAACCUGUUCCAAUGGUUAAGGACUAUGAACAGAGCUAGUAGCCACUUGAACAAGUGACUAACUGAGUAACCGGGGGUGAGUAUCACCAAUAUGCACCUUCGCGUAAAAAGGUUUGUGACUUUUUUAGGCAAGAAUAAGAAAAAGUGAUGCUGAAUGAAAAUACAAAAAAGGCAAGUGACUCUUAGAGGUUGCAUUAAGCCUAAAAUGAAAGAAUAAGUAUGAUCAAAUAAAAAACUUUUUUUUUGUCAUGGUGGGUGGGAAGAAACAAGGAAAGAGAGGACAACCUUAGUGCAUGUACUCUACACUAUAGUGCUUCAAUUUGGGAGUCUAGGGGGGCUGAUUAAGUGGUACUUAGGCUCAAAAGAAAAAGGGGCUUGAUUGACUAAGUUAUUGGUUGCUUGAGGACAAGCAAAAGGCUAGGUGUGGGGGUAUUUGAUCAAACAUAAUUUAGCCACAUUUUUAUUAUCUUUAUUACUGUUUAAUUACACGUUUUUUCAGCUUAAUUUAUGUUUUUGUGAUUUUUUACAGAAAAGGAAGAAAAUAGAAAGUUAGAGAAAAAGUGCAGAAAAAGCUGGGAAAUUGAUUUGGUCAGAGUGAUUUGGCCAAAUCGAUCGUAGAAAGCAAAGGCAGGAAACUGAGAUAGAAAUCUGGAAGUAAUUCACAGAAACGAUUUGUACAAGUGAUUUGCCCAAAUCACCCGCCCAAAUCACAGUGACGCAGACAAGGACAGAAGCGCGGGAAAGAAGGGCAAGAUUUCAAAAUUCAAAAGUGAUAAAGUCCAAUCCUACUUCAAACACUACAAGAUCAGUUCCAAAGAGCUACGAGAAGGUUUUUCACCCAAGGAAUUCUAUUCACAAUUAAAUACAAAGUCAAAAGAGGAAUCAAAGGCUACAAAAGACCAAGUCAAAAUUGGGAUUCCAACCCCUAAUUGAACUAUGACUCUUCACCUAUAAAAGGGACAGCUCCAAAACCAGCAGACAUCAUCUCUCCACCUUCGAAAAUACUGCAGAAACACAGCAGGAAGUCUGCUGCAGCUUCUCUUCUUUUCUUUCUUCUUUCUUUUUUGUGAUUUUGUCCACCAUGAGUGGCUAAACACUUUCUUUUCUAGUUGAAGUUGGGAAAUUUCAUGUUUGUGAUGAAUUGGGAGAUUUAAAACUCCAUUAUUAAACUCUUAUUUAUUUUCAAUAUUUAUGCAACUUGAUCUUUCUAUUA